rnacentral:rRNA from 1 species
GAUCUGGCUCAGGAUGAACGCUAGCUACAGGCUUAACACAUGCAAGUCGAGGGGCAGCAUGAACUUAGCUUGCUAAGUUUGAUGGCGACCGGCGCACGGGUGAGUAACACGUAUCCAACCUGCCGAUGACUCGGGGAUAGCCUUUCGAAAGAAAGAUUAAUACCCGAUGGCAUAGUUCUUCCGCAUGGUGGAACUAUUAAAGAAUUUCGGUCAUCGAUGGGGAUGCGUUCCAUUAGG